rnacentral:rRNA from 1 species
AUGCACCUGCCUGCCUGCCGUGCCAUGGACACGCUACCACUGACAAGAGCAGCAAGCAACGGCGAUGGCACCGGCAAGCCAAAGCCACAUGUGCUCGUCGUGCCUUACCCGGCGCAAGGCCACCUGCUACUGCUUCUCGACCUGGUGGUGCUGCUCGCCGGACGGGGGCUCGCGCUCACCGUCGCUGUCACGCCAGGCAACGUACGGCUCCUCGCCGCAUUGCCGCCGUCCGUCGCCACUGUCGUGCUGCCGUUCCCAUCCGGGCCUUUUCUCCCGGCCGGAUGUGGCGAGAACACCAAGGACCUUCCGGCGGACCUCUUCCGGCCGUUCAUGGCGUCCCUGGUGGCCCUCUCGGCGCCGCUGCUCCCCUGGUGCAAGGCCCAGCCCCGUCCCGUCACGUCCAUUCUCUCCGAUCUGUUCAUGGGCUGGACGCUUCCGCUCGCCGACGAGCUUGGCGUGCCGCACGUGGCCUUCUAG